rnacentral:rRNA from 1 species
UCUGGGAGGGCAAGUCUGGUGCCAGCAGCCGCGGUAAUUCCAGCUCCAAUAGCGUAUAUUAAAGUUGUUGCAGUUAAAAAGCUCGUAGUUGAAUUUCGGGGUUAGUAGAUUGGUCAUGCCUCUGGUAUGCACUGGUCUCACUGAUUCCUCCUUCCUGAUGAGCCGUAAUGCCAUUAAUUUGGUGUUGCGGGGAAUUUGGACUGUUACUUUGAAAAAAUUAGAGUGUUUAAAGCAAGCUAACGCUUGAAUACAUUAGCAUGGAAUAAUGAAAUAGGACGUUCGAUCCUAUUUUGUUGGUUUCUAGGAUUGACGUAAUGAUUAAUAGGGAUAGUUGGGGGCAUUAGUAUUCAAUUGUCAGAGGUGAAAUUCUUGGAUUUAUUGAAGACUAACUACUGCGAAAGCAUUUGCCAAGGAUGUUUUCAUUAAUCAAGAACGAAAGUUAGGGGAUCGAAGACGAUCAGAUACCGUCGUAGUCUUAACCAUAAACUAUGCCGACUAGGGAUCGGAUGAUGU